rnacentral:rRNA from 1 species
UACGGAGGGUGCGAGCGUUAAUCGGAAUUACUGGGCGUAAAGCGCACGCAGGCGGUUUGUUAAGCUAGAUGUGAAAGCCCCGGGCUCAACCUGGGAUGGNCAUUUAGAACUGGCAGACUAGAGUCUUGGAGAGGGGAGUGGAAUUCCAGGUGUAGCGGUGAAAUGCGUAGAUAUCUGGAGGAACAUCAGUGGCGAAGGCGACUNCCUGGCCAAAGACUGACGCUCAUGUGCGAAAGUGUGGGUAGCGAACAGG